rnacentral:lncRNA from 1 species
AGCACAAUUAAAGCAUAUAAGCAAACAUAAAAUGCAGAUAAACUAGCAUUCAUGCAAUAGCUAUUAUAAAGCACUAAAAGUAAUUCAAGCAUUAAGAACACAAAUAAAAAAAAAAAAAAAAAAAAAUAUAAAAAAUAUGCCUAAUAAUUUAAAAGCCAGAGUAUACAAGAUAAAUAAAUAAACUGAUCUACAGCUCAUUGAGAUCUGCAGGAGGAACACCGACACGAACUGCCCUCCCAAUUACCAACCAAACUUUUAAACUAACCCA